GAGUCCCCAAGUCAACCUCUUUGUGAUGGGCCAUCAUACAUUAUUAAAGCAUGGAAUCAAACUUGAUGUGACUGUAAUGCCAUUCUAGAAUAUUAAGAUUUAAGAGUCCACCAUGCCAAAUCAUGAUGAACUUUAGUACAGACAACCUGGUUUUUAUAAAGAUGGCGGUAAAAAAAACCAUUUUAUGAUGAGAUUUCUUAGACGACAUCAAAUGCAUAUGGAAGAAGUUACUGAUAAACUAUCAGAACAAAAUUAAAAGAAUCAACUACUUAAAUCGAUAAAUUUGUGAUCGAUCGUUACCAUAACUCAAUGCCGCCUGC
rnacentral:lncRNA from 1 species